rnacentral:rRNA from 1 species
AUAAUACGCCAUAGAUUAGAGACACUGGAAUGUUCUUUAGUCGAAAGUUCUGUCGCCUUAGGAUGGAUCUGCGGUCGAUUAGGUUGUGUUUGGGGUAACGGCCCAACAAGCCUGUAAUCGAUACGGGUUGUGGGAGCAAGAGCCCGGAGAUGGUAUCUGAGACACGAUUCCAGGCCCUACGGGGCGCAGCAGGCGCGAAAACUUUACAAUGCAGGAAACUGUGAUAAGGAAACCCCGAGUGCCAGCACAGGCUGGCUGUCCGCCAGUUUAAACAACUGGCGAAGAAAGGGCCGGGCAAGACCGGUGCCAGCCGCCGCGGUUAUACCGGCGGCUCGAGUGGUGGCCGCUAUUACUGAAAAUAAAGGGUCCGUAGCUUGAUAAUAGGGUCCCUUGAGAAAUCCGCCGGCUUAACUGGCGGGCGUUCAGGGGAAACUUGUUUUCUAGGGACCGGGAGAGGUGAGGGGUACUGCCGGGGUAGGAGUGAAAUCCUGUAAUCCCGGUGGGACCACCUAUGGCGAAGGCAUCUCACCAGAACGGGUCCGACAGUGAGGGACGAAAGCUGGGGGAGCAAACCGGAUUAGAUACCCGGGUAGUCCCAGCCGUAUACUAUGCGCGUUAGGUGU